AGAGUUUGAUCCUGGCUCAGGAUGAACGCUAGCUACAGGCUUAACACAUGCAAGUCGAGGGGAAACGACAUCGAAAGCUUGCUUUUGAUGGGCGUCGACCGGCGCACGGGUGAGUAACGCGUAUCCAACCUGCCCACCACUUGGGGAUAACCUUGCGAAAGUAAGACUAAUACCCAAUGACGUCUCUAGAAGACAUCUGAAGGAGAUUAAAGAUUUAUCGGUGAUGGAUGGGGAUGCGUCUGAUUAGCUUGGUUGGCGGGGUAACGGCCACCGAAGGCGACGAUCAGGUAGGGGUUCUGGAGAGGAACGGUCCCCCACAUUGGAACUGAGACACGGUCCAAACUCCGUACGGGAGCA
rnacentral:rRNA from 1 species